rnacentral:rRNA from 1 species
AUGAACGCUGGCGGCGUGCCUAAUACCUGCAAGUCGAGCGAACAGACGAGGAGCUUGCUCCUCUGACGUUAGCGGCGGACGGGUGAGUAACACGUGGAUAACCUACCUAUAAGACUGGGAUAACUUCGGGAAACCGGAGCUAAUACCGGAUAAUAUAUUGAACCGCAUGGUUCAAUAGUGAAAGACGGUUUUGCUGUCACUUAUAGAUGGAUCCGCGCCGCAUUAGCUAGUUGGUAAGGUAACGGCUUACCAAGGCAACGAUGCGUAGCCGACCUGAGAGGCUGAUCGGCCACACGGGAACUGGAACACGGUCCAGACUCCUACGGGAGGCAGCAGUAGGGAAUCUUCCGCAAUGGGCGAAAGCCUGACGGAGCAACGCCGCGUGAGUGAUGAAGGUCUUCGGAUCGGAAAACUCUGUUAUGAGGGAAGAACAAAUGUGUAAGUAACUAUGCACGUCUUGACGGUACCUAAUCAGAAAGCCACGGCUAACUACGUG